CUCUGCCUUCUUCGUUUCAGUGCGGUUAUAUAUAUGAAAACGUCGUACAAUACGUGUCGUUUCCAUCAAAAUGUCGUCGUUCCUUCGUCUUUUCGUCUGCACGGCUAUGGCCUAUGGGUGAAGUCAUUCACCUUGCCAGACGACAGCUCUUCGUUUCUCCGAUUCAUCAUUUCUCUCUCAAGCUUUCCCUCUCUCCACCCUAAUUUUGUGUUUUUGUUUUUAGAUCUGAUUCUGAAAUUUCGUUUGGUAGGUGUUAAUGGAUGCGAUUAUGAGUUUCUCGCUCUCAAACAAUUUCUCAGAAACCGAAUUGGAAUGAAACCUUGGAGACGGGAAGCCGCAUAGACGAGACCCGCUGCUAUUAUUUCCACGGAGUUUGGUAGAGGAGAGGCUGGAUUUAGAGAAGAUGAUGCUUGGGAAUAGGUUCACUAUUUGGGGUUAAAUUGCCAAAACAUUUAAUUGAUGCAACUGAGUGUAUUGUACAGCAGAGAAAUUAGAAUGCUAAAGAGGGAGAAGUGCUGUUGUUAAUUGCCAGAUGACAUAUUAGCUCUCUUUAAAUGCAUGUUAUCAAUUGCCCUGGCACUAUGUUUUUUCUCUGUAGCUGUUCUUAAUGUGGUUUCUGAGCUAUGCAUCCACAGAUAUGUUGAGGUUGUGAAUUUGUUGGCAUAGUCAAAUUGCAUAGAACUUAGCUCAUUCCCUGUAUUCUUGUCUUUGUUUAGAAAAAAGAAAUGGUAAAUGUUCUAUUGCUUUCAUUAUGAAGUUGUUCCAGAUAAAUUCUUCCAAUCCUGAAAUUUAUUGCAAUCGUAUUGGUUUUGAGGAAAUCAGAAGAAAAUAGUUGAAGUUGCCCUGAACAAAACAAAGACAAUUAUUUUUCAGACCUUUUUGCUCCAUGACUUAAUACAUAUGUAUUUUUGGAUUGUUGAGAAUUAGAAGGAAAAAGGGAAAAGAAAAAUAAAUGAAAAGAGUAUAGCAGCAGUAACAUUUGAGAGGAAAAAAAAGGUUAUAAAUAAUCCAUGUGUGAAUUGGGUGUCACUUUCUGUCUUUUGUGGUUUAUUAUUUACUCUAUGUUAGCCAUAAGUUUUUUCUGAUGAUUUGAAUGAAAAAUAAGAACAGGUUUCCUUGUUAUAUAUUUUGACAUCAAUAAUGCAAUGUAUUUUGUAACCGAGGCUUUGGGAAUUUCUCAGUUUAGAUAAAGGUGAGCAAGAGAUUUCAGUUUCAAGGCCGAAGUUUAAACCACUGCUUUCAUAUAUUAGAGAAGUAAAGAUUGGUGUAGGGAAAAGAUGGGAAGUUUAUGGAGGGAAUAGAAAAUUGAAAGUUUUUGUCUAUUAAAUUCAGUUCAUAGCUGAGGAAAGAAAGAACAAUGUGAAAUUUGACUCUCUCAAUUUGUCAGUAAAAAUGAAGAUAGCCAUGGUUUGAUCAGUAUUGGCUGAUGCUGACAUUUUGUAUAUGCCUGCAGCAACUUACAGGAGAAGACAAACUAUUGAGAAGAUUGGGUUUUAAUAUUGCCUUUUCUAUAUGGGUGCCGGAUUCUAGUCUAUUGGAGAUUUGUUCUUUCGGCUCUAAUUGGACGAUACGAUCGAGCUUUUUGUUUGGAUCUUUAUGGUUUAGAUGCUGAUCCACAGGCAUAUCUAUCAAUAAAGGCUUCUUUUGAAUA